rnacentral:tRNA from 1 species
CCUGAUAGCUCAGUCGGUAAAGAAUCUGCCUUCAAUGCAGGGGACCCCGGUUCAACUCCUGGGUCAGGA